CACAUUCUAAAACCAGUUUUCCUCUUGAAUCGUUUGACUGAAUCACAUAGGACCAUGCAAUAUCUUUUUUUCCUCGGACCGAAUGGUUUGUAGCAGCCAUUUCUUCGUAGUUUUCCUCAGGGUCAGUCUCUAUUUCCUGUAAAACUCAUACACAAAGUUUUUUAAAAAUCAUGGGUUACAGGAAAUAUAUAGAGUUGUACAAAACAAACAGAACAUGACAUAUCAUUGUGAUUAAACAAAACAAUAGUCACAGCAAAAAAAAAGUCACUCAGAACAUGAUUCACGUCAUAUGGUAUUGCAUAAACAUAUACAAAACAUAGUCGGGGAUACAUAGUAUAUGAGACAGCCGCAAAAAAAAGACAAUACUAGGAAAUUGAUAACUGAAAAACUGAAAACCUAAUCCUUCUAUUUGGAAUAUCCAACCGACUUUAGUAUCACAAUUUUAAAAAAAAAACUAAAAAAGUAAAUAAAAGUUAUCCACUGGGUUCACCCGGUGUCCGGGUUCCGGGUUUUAACGGUUUUUUACGGAUUUUACCGGGUUUUUAAAUAGUGGAUAAAUCUUAAAACCCAAACCGGAACACAUGCUGGGUCACCGGGUUUACCGGUCUGACCGCGGAUCCGGGUCGGGCGUGAAAACACUGGCUGUAAGUAAUGUAGCUUUAAAAUUGAUUGCUACAACAAUAUAUUUUCUACAGCCAAAAAGACGGGCAUUUAAAAAUAAGGCUUUUACAGCUUUUUAUUUUUUUUAUUUUUUGGCUGUAGUUUAAAAAAACAAGAUAAAACAUGAUUGGUGAUUUAAAGGAUGUAGAUUAAUAUUAAAGCUAAAAUCAGCU
rnacentral:lncRNA from 1 species